UACAGAGGGUGCAAGCGUUGUUCGGAAUCACUGGGCGUAAAGGGCGUGUAGGCGGUGGAGUGUGUUUGGUGUGAAAGCCCUCGGCUUAACCGAGGAAGUGCAUUGAAAACUACUCUGCUAGAGUGCGGGAGAGGAUGGUGGAAUUCCCAAAGUAGAAGUGAAAUUCGUAGAGAUUGGGAGGAACACCUGAGGCGAAGGCGGCCAUCUGGCCCGCAACUGACGCUGAGACGCGAAAGCGUGGGGAGCAAACAGG
rnacentral:rRNA from 1 species